rnacentral:rRNA from 1 species
GUACCGUGAGGGAAAGGUGAAAAGAACCCCGAAAGGGAAGUGAAAAGAACAUGAAACCAUAAACUUACAAUCAGUAGAAGGACGACUUUAACGUUUGACUACGUGCCUGUUGAAGAAUGAGCCGACGACUUAUAAAUAAUGGCAAGGGUUAAUGUACAGAAUACUGGAGCCAUAGUGAAAGCGAGCUUGAACAGGGCAUUAGUCAUUAUUUAUAGACCCGAACCCGGAUGAUCUAACCAUGAUCAGGCUGAAUCUCAGAUUACACUGAGUGGAGGGCCGAACCGACUAAUGUUGAAAAAUUAGCGGAUGAAUUGUGGUUAGUGGUGAAAUGCUAAUCGAAUUCGGAGCUAGCUGGUUCUCCCCGAAAUGCGUUUUGGCGCAGCAAUAAAUGUUUCUAUUUAGGGGUAAAGCACUGUUACGUAUGAGGGCUGGUAACACUGUACUGAAUCGUUGCAAACUAAGAAUACUAAAUGUGAAUAAAAUUUAUUAGUAAGACUGUGGGGGAUAAGCUUCAUUGUCAAAAGGGUAAUAGCCCAGAACAUCAGUUAAGGUCCCUAAAUAAUUACUAAGUGAUAAAGGAGGUGGGAGUACCUAUACAAUCAGAAGGUUUGCUUAGAAGCAGCAAUCCUUUAAAGAGUGCGUAAUAGCUCACUGAUUUAGUAAACCUGCGCCGAAAAUGUACGGGACUAAGUGAUUUACCGAAACUAUGUGAUAUGGUAUGAUAUGUAAAUUAUAAUAAAUUUUAACCAAAUAGAAAAGAUAAAACAAAUUAAGAAUUUUUAUAAUAUAAUAAAGGAUAAUUUAAAUAUCGGUAGGGGAGCGUUCUGUUUAGGUUGAAGUAUUAACGUAAGUGGGUAUGGACAAAACAGAAGUGAGAAUGUCGGCUUGAGUAACGAAAAUAUAAGUGAAAAUCUUAUACCCCGAAAAUCCAAGGUUUCCUUCAUAAAGCUCGUCUGAGAAGGGUUAGUCAGGACCUAAGAUGAGGUUGAAAAGCGUAGUCAAUGGUGAACAGGUUAAUAUUCCAGUACCAUUAUUUAGAGAUAUCGAGGGACGAAAAAGGCUAAGCUGACUGAUAUAUUGGUAAUUUCAGUUAAAAUUAUUUAGGUAAUGAGAAAUGGAGAAAACAUUUUGAACUAAAAAUAUAAUAUUAAAUUAAAGAAUAUUAAUAAUUCAGUAUAUGUCAUAUUUCCAAGAAAAGCUCGCACUAUCUAAAAAUAGAAUAAAUAAUGCCUGUACCAUAAACCGACACAGGUGGAUAAGUAGAGUAUACUAAGGGGCGCGAGAGAACUCUCUCUAAGGAACUCGGCAAAUUAACUCUGUAACUUCGGAAGAAAGAGUGCCUUAUUUAAUAAGGUUGCAACAUCAAGACCCAAGCAACUGUUUAUCAAAAACACAGGUCUCCGCUAAGUUGUAAAACGAUGUAUGGGGGCUGACGCCUGCCCAGUGCCAGAAGGUUAAAGAAGUUGAUGAAAGUUAAUGACUGAAGCCCUGGUGAACGGCGGCCGUAACAAUAACGGUCCUAAGGUAGCG